CAAGUAGCUUGAUGAUGUGAUAAUUUCUCAUUGAUUCACAGCUGGAGGAUGGUAGUGUCACCUCAGCAGCAUAAACAGUUUCUGGGCUUCUGCAUGUUCUCUUAUUGGUGCUGAAAGAUGUAUUUUACUAUGUGCAAAAUGUUUUUUAUUUUUAGUGUUGCUUUGCCUUUGUGUCUGUGUAAUGUCGUUUUGGUCAAUGGGGGCCCUUUUUCACAAAUUCCAUUAUGGCCUCUGUGAUACAUAUCAAAGAAGUGACUGCCUAGCAUCACAAUGAAGAUGAACUCUGUGAGCAGCCCACACUGCUGUACGUUUUAGCAAAACUAGAAGACUUUUGCAAUAGGCUGGAGCUGCUGCAUUUGAAACAGACCUGGAGAAAAUGUAAUCUCACUUUUAUGUCUAUGCACCGAAAAAUUAAAACAUUCCCCCGUA